GGGGGCCCCUUUUGGCUCCUUCAGACCUCAGCCCAGAGAACCAGAGAAGGGUCAGAGACGCACGAGGGAGAGGCUGAACUCACACUUACCUUUGACCAGUAGAAGAGGUGGUGGUUGAUUUUUUCGCUCUCCUACUCUCCCAGAGGAGGCCCCGGUCCGAGCCAGCGCUGGCGGGCUGCGGCUGCUGAAACUAGAGUUCCUGUGGCCAGAAUGGUGCCCCUUGCCCGCUCCAGGGCUUCAGAGAAGAGCGAGCCCGGCCCGGGGCUAGGGUGUCCGGCCUGCCCCGCGAAGGCGCGCUGGGCCUGGAGACUUUGCGCUCUUCACUUCGCCAGACGAGAGUUUAGCCCGGGGCCCGUCCGCGACACCUGGCCUCCGGCGGUUUUCGGGACCCUCUCUCAAAACUGCGCGAGCGCCGAGAUCACUCUGGUAUUAGCUCCCUUUAGAUGAGGAAGGCAUUGUAUCUUUCUAAGGGGGUCUCUCAGACCUAAGUUAUUUUGGUCUGCAGUGGUAGUAAUGGCCUUGAAUUUGUUUAAACUUACUGCCCACGACACCCUCUCCCCAAAUCCCCCUACACCCACACAGUACGCUCCAUCACGGCCACCACCACUCCCACUCCAUUUGCAUUUGAAAACCUCUGGAAACAUAAGCGCUUUCAGGAUGAACUCUCUCUCUCUCUCUCACUCUCUCUCUCUCUCACUGUCUCUCUCUCUCUCUCUCUCUCUCACACACACACACACACACACACACACACACACACAGCCCGCCAAGUGGAAACUGAGUUGAGUCAUAGGAUGCAUAUGAAUAGGAUUGGAUGGUCCUUUGCUUCUGCGGAUAAGAAUGUUUAAUAACCCAGGAUUCCGGGCAAUAACAGCAUUACAGGGUUUCUAGAACUCUGUUCUGAUCCUUUAGAAAUUGUUAGAACAAUAGUAAUGAUAGUAGGAGGAGAAGUAGGACUAUGUUUUUCAAGGCACUUGCAAGCAAUCUGCUACAUCGUUUAUGGGAGAACUUAAAAAUAUUCCCCUUGAUUAAGACUCACAGGUCAAAUAUCAUCUCUCUUUUCUGCAUGCUAAUUAAAAGCAACUCUGUUCUUAGGUAUUUGACAGUCAUUUGAAUCAAGAUACUUGAAAAUUUCUGACUCAAUAGCAAUGUGCUUCAGUACACACAAUCAAGUAUAAUCAUAUAUAUGUGAGAUAUGACUUUGAAGAGGAGAUGACUUUUUUAAAAAAAAGACGCAUACUCAAAGACAACUAGAAAUGGCUGCUGCAGGCAACCAGUCACUGCUCUGACUACAACAUAUUUGUGCAAUUAAUAGUCUCACAACCUAGUCCAAAUCCCCUCUUUACUUGGAGCAGGAGUGUUAAUGAACUGUAGAUGCAAAGCUCUUAAUGUAUAGAUGUAGUGUCCUCUUGAAAUUUAACAAGCUUUGAAAAUGUAAUAAAACAGAGAUAAGUAUUCAGGUUAUUUUUAGUUUGUGUUGGCUUGUUGUGUUUUUAAUAUUGUUUAAAAUAUGACACAGUUAUCCUCAGUUCCUAUCCCAUAUGUCCAUUCUGGAGGAUCCAGAAAACAUAUCAGUAGUUAGGGUAACAAAAAAUCCUCCAAAAAAGACCCAAGUUUUGCCAGUAAACUUUAAGUCUUUAUUGAGCAUUUCAUAAUAGCUUUAAAAAAACAAAGUGCGGUUCAUGUUUCUAGCUACUUUCAUACAAUGUUGAAAUAAUACUAUAAUUUGACUAGGUAAGAUUCUUAUUGAUUGCUAAUUUGGUGUUAGAAUUGAUUAUAUUUCACAU
ensembl:lncRNA novel transcript